rnacentral:piRNA from 1 species
UNUUGCUGUCCUAACUUCUGAAAGAGUG